rnacentral:rRNA from 1 species
GGGUUGUGAGGUUAAGCGACCAAGCGUACACGGUGGAUGCCCUGGCAGUCAGAGGCGAUGAAGGACGUGCUAAUCUGCGAAAAGCGCCGGUAAGGUGAUAUGAACCGUUAUAACCGGCGAUGUCCGAAUGGGGAAACCCAGUGUGACUCGUCACACUAUCAUUAACUGAAUCCAUAGGUUAAUGAGGCGAACCGGGGGAACUGAAACAUCUAAGUACCCCGAGGAAAAGAAAUCAACCGAGAUUCCCCCAGUAGCGGCGAGCGAACGGGGAGGAGCCCAGAGCCUGAAUCAGCAUGUGUGUUAGUGGAAGCGUCUGGAAAGGCGCGCGAUACAGGGUGAGAGCCCCGUACACAAAAGCGCACAUGUUGUGAGCUCGAUGAGUAGGGCGGGACACGUGGUAUCCUGUCUGAAUAUGGGGGGACCAUCCUCCAAGGCUAAAUACUCCUGACUGACCGAUAGUGAACCAGUACCGUGAGGGAAAGGCGAAAAGAACCCCGGCGAGGGGAGUGAAACAGAACCUGAAACCGUGUACGUACAAGCAGUGGGAGCCUCUCUUUAUGGGGGGUGACUGCGUACCUUUUGUAUAAUGGGUCAGCGACUUAUAUUCUGUAGCAAGGUUAACCGCAUAGGGGAGCCGAAGGGAAACCGAGUCUUAACCGGGCGUUAAGUUGCAGGGUAUAGACCCGAAACCCGGUGAUCUAGCCAUGGGCAGGUUGAAGGUUGGGUAACACUAACUGGAGGACCGAACCGACUAAUGUUGAAAAAUUAGCGGAUGACCUGUGGCUGGGGGUGAAAGGCCAAUCAAACCGGGAGAUAGCUGGUUCUCCCCGAAAGCUAUUUAGGUAGCGCCUCGUGAACUCAUCUCCGGGGGUAGAGCACUGUUUCGGCUAGGGGGCCAUCCCGGCUUACCAACCCGAUGCAAACUGCGAAUACCGGAGAAUGUUAUCACGGGAGACACACGGCGGGUGCUAACGUCCGUCGUGAAGAGGGAAACAACCCAGACCGCCAGCUAAGGUCCCAAAGUCAUGGUUAAGUGGGAAACGAUGUGGGAAGGCCCAGACAGCCAGGAUGUUGGCUUAGAAGCAGCCAUCAUUUAAAGAAAGCGUAAUAGCUCACUGGUCGAGUCGGCCUGCGCGGAAGAUGUAACGGGGCUAAACCAUGCACCGAAGCUGCGGCAGCGACACUUUAGUGUUGUUGGGUAGGGGAGCGUUCUGUAAGCCGUUGAAGGUGUCCUGUGAGGGGUGCUGGAGGUAUCAGAAGUGCGAAUGCUGACAUAAGUAACGAUAAAGCGGGUGAAAAGCCCGCUCGCCGGAAGACCAAGGGUUCCUGUCCAACGUUAAUCGGGGCAGGGUGAGUCGACCCCUAAGGCGAGGCCGAAAGGCGUAGUCGAUGGGAAACGGGUUAAUAUUCCCGUACUUGGUGUUACUGCGAAGGGGGGACGGAGAAGGCUAUGUUGGCCGGGCGACGGUUGUCCCGGUUUAAGCGUGUAGGUGUGUGUUCCAGGUAAAUCCGGUUCACUUUAACACUGAGGCGUGAUGACGAGGCACCACGGUGCUGAAGCAACAAAUGCCCUGCUUCCAGGAAAAGCCUCUAAGCAUCAGGUAACAUCAAAUCGUACCCCAAACCGACACAGGUGGUCAGGUAGAGAAUACCAAGGCGCUUGAGAGAACUCGGGUGAAGGAACUAGGCAAAAUGGUGCCGUAACUUCGGGAGAAGGCACGCUGACACGUAGGUGAAGUGAUUUACUCAUGGAGCUGAAGUCAGUCGAAGAUACCAGCUGGCUGCAACUGUUUAUUAAAAACACAGCACUGUGCAAACACGAAAGUGGACGUAUACGGUGUGACGCCUGCCCGGUGCCGGAAGGUUAAUUGAUGGGGUCAGCGCAAGCGAAGCUCCUGAUCGAAGCCCCGGUAAACGGCGGCCGUAACUAUAACGGUCCUAAGGUAGCGAAAUUCCUUGUCGGGUAAGUUCCGACCUGCACGAAUGGCGUAAUGAUGGCCAGGCUGUCUCCACCCGAGACUCAGUGAAAUUGAACUCGCUGUGAAGAUGCAGUGUACCCGCGGCAAGACGGAAAGACCCCGUGAACCUUUACUAUAGCUUGACACUGAACAUUGAGCCUUGAUGUGUAGGAUAGGUGGGAGGCUUUGAAGCGUGGACGCCAGUCUGCGUGGAGCCGACCUUGAAAUACCACCCUUUAAUGUUUGAUGUUCUAACGUGGACCCGUAAUCCGGGUUGCGGACAGUGUCUGGUGGGUAGUUUGACUGGGGCGGUCUCCUCCUAAAGAGUAACGGAGGAGCACGAAGGUUGGCUAAUCCUGGUCGGACAUCAGGAGGUUAGUGCAAUGGCAUAAGCCAGCUUGACUGCGAGCGUGACGGCGCGAGCAGGUGCGAAAGCAGGUCAUAGUGAUCCGGUGGUUCUGAAUGGAAGGGCCAUCGCUCAACGGAUAAAAGGUACUCCGGGGAUAACAGGCUGAUACCGCCCAAGAGUUCAUAUCGACGGCGGUGUUUGGCACCUCGAUGUCGGCUCAUCACAUCCUGGGGCUGAAGUAGGUCCCAAGGGUAUGGCUGUUCGCCAUUUAAAGUGGUACGCGAGCUGGGUUUAGAACGUCGUGAGACAGUUCGGUCCCUAUCUGCCGUGGGCGCUGGAAGAUUGAGGGGGGCUGCUCCUAGUACGAGAGGACCGGAGUGGACGCAUCACUGGUGUUCGGGUUGUCAUGCCAAUGGCACUGCCCGGUAGCUAAAUGCGGAAAAGAUAAGUGCUGAAAGCAUCUAAGCACGAAACUUGCCCCGAGAUGAGUCUUCCCUGAGACUUUGAGUCUCCUGAAGGAACGUUAAAGACGAUGACGUUGAUAGGCCGGGUGUGUAAGCGCAGCGAUGCGUUGAGCUAACCGGUACUAAUGAACCGUGAGGCUUAACCUUACAACGCCGAAGCUGUU